UUUUUUUUUGCAGAACGGGCCGAGGGGACAGAGACUUCACUCGGUAGCCAGAACCUGUUUUCAGCAUGAGUAUUUUAAGCAGAGACGGAGAGGCUGUCACUGCAGUAGCCGCUGUCCUGGAAAAGUAACCAUUGCACGGCCCAGAAGCGGCUCUGUGGCGGCCAAUGGGAGCCGAAGCCUGCGAGGAUGUUGGGAACUGUAGUUCUGGCGUCGGUCGGCGGCCGAGGUCCUGGGCCCACUGGCUCUGGUCCACCUUCUCCAAUCCCUGCCUGCUGGGAGAGGACGAUCUCUUGAGAAAGGAAAGAUUUCUGUGCUCCUGAGAACCUCCUCUCAGGUCCUGGCUGCAUGGAAACAAGAUGGGCUUCUUACAAUUAAGGUUGGAAGAAGUCACCACAGGCAGCAGAACUCCAUCUUGAGAUGAAAUAACAUCUACCUGGACCUCUGGCAGAAUUUCAAGGCACACACUGGGCUGACUCUGGGGCCAUGAUGGUGCCUUAUCCUUUAGCACUGGGAGAUCAAUACUGGGAAGAGAUUUUGCUUUCAAAGAAUGGGGAAAAUGUAGAGACCAUGAAGAAAUUGACCCAAAAUCAUAAAGCGAAAGGCUUGCCUUCUAAUGAUACUGACUGGUCCCAGAAAAAGGAGACAAAAGCCCAAAUAGUGGUACCAGUUACAUUCAGGGAUGUGACUGUGAUCUUCACAGAAGCAGAAUGGAAGAGACUGAGUCCAGAGCAGAGGAAUCUAUACAAAGAAGUGAUGCUGGAGAAUUACAGGAAUAUUCUCUCAUUGGCAGAACCAGAGCCAGAAAUCUACACUUGUUCCUCCUGCCUUCUGGCCUUCUCCUGUCAGCAGUUCCUCAGUCAACAUGUACUUCAGAUCUUCCUGGGCUUAUGUGCAGAAAAUCACUUCCAUCCAGGGAAUUCUAGCCCAGGGCAUUGGAAACAGCAGGGGCAGCAGUAUUCCCAUCCAAGCUGUUGGUAUGAAAAUGCAGAAGGUCAGGAGAGAGCAGGUGGCUCCAAACCCUGGUCUGCAAGGACAGAGGAGAGAGAAACCUCAAGGGCAUUCCCCAGCCCACUCCAAAGACAGUCAGCAAGUCCUAGAAAAGGCAACAUGGUGGUAGAAAUAGAGCCCAGCUCAGCCCAAAGACCAAACCCUGUGCAGCUAGACAAAGGCUUGAAGGAAUUAGAAACCUUGAGAUUUGGAGCAAUCAACUGUAGAGAGUGUGAACCGGACCAUAACCUGGAAUCAAACUUUAUUACAAACCCAAGGAUCCUCUUAGGGAAGAAGCCCUACAUUUGCAGUGAUUGUGGGCGAAGCUUUAAAGAUAGAUCAACCCUCAUCAGACACCAUCGUACACACUCGAUGGAGAAGCCUUAUGUGUGCAGUGAGUGCGGGCGAGGUUUUAGCCAGAAGUCCAACCUCAGCAGACACCAGAGAACACAUUCAGAAGAGAAGCCUUAUUUGUGCAGGGAGUGUGGGCAAAGCUUUAGAAACAAGUCCAUCCUCAAUAGACAUCAGUGGACUCACUCAGAGGAGAAGCCCUAUGUUUGCAGUGAGUGUGGGCGAGGCUUUAGCGAGAAGUCAUCCUUCAUCAGACACCAGAGGACACACUCCGGUGAGAAACCCUAUGUGUGCCUGGAGUGUGGACGAGGCUUUUGUGAUAAGUCAACCCUCAGAAAACACCAGAGGAUACACUCAGGGGAGAAGCCUUAUGUUUGCAGGGAGUGUGGGCGAGGCUUUAGCCAGAACUCAGAUCUCAUCAAACACCAGAGGACACACUUGGAUGAGAAGCCUUAUGUUUGCAGGGAGUGUGGGCGAGGCUUUUGCGACAAGUCAACCCUCAUCAUACACGAGCGGACGCACUCUGGAGAGAAGCCUUAUGUGUGUGGUGAGUGUGGCCGAGGCUUUAGUCGGAAAUCACUCCUCCUUGUCCACCAGAGGACACACUCAGGGGAGAAGCAUUAUGUCUGCAGGGAGUGUAGGCGAGGUUUUAGCCAGAAGUCAAAUCUCAUCAGACACCAGAGGACACACUCAAAUGAGAAGCCUUAUAUUUGCAGGGAAUGUGGGCGAGGCUUUUGUGACAAGUCAUCCCUCAUUGUACAUGAGAGGACACACUCAGGAGAGAAGCCUUACGUGUGCAGUGAGUGUGGCCGAGGCUUUAGCCGGAAAUCACUCCUCCUUGUCCACAAGAGGACACACUCAGGGGAGAAGCAUUAUGUUUGUAGGGAGUGUGGGCGAGGCUUUAGUCAUAAGUCAAAUCUCAUCAGACACCAGAGGACACACUGAUGGGAGAAACCUGUGUAUGCAGGGGUCAUGAACAAGACCUGAGUGACCAGUCAAGCCUCAUGUUACCCCAGAGAGACACACGGGGAGGAGACCCUGUGUAUGCAGAUUGUGAGUGAAGUUCCAGAGAUGUGUCAACCGUUAUCAGGCAUGGGAGGGACACGUUCAGGAGAGGAGCCUUAUGAGUAUAGAGUAUGGGCAACCGUAGCCAUCAGUCAGCCUUCAGCAUGCACAAAAGAACACACUUAGGAGAGAAGUUUAUGUGUAGGGACUGUGGGAAGGCUUUAGCAAUAAUCAACAUUUACCAAACAUCCAAUGAUAGCCUCAUGGGAAAGCACCCUUGUCUGGGGAGUGUUGGUGAGCAUCAGUAAAAGAAUGGACAGUCAGGCACAAAGUGGCCCUCAGGAAGGAGGUCUUUGUUUGCAGGAUGUAUGGGCAAAGCUUUUGUGAUCACAUACCACAGGGAGAAUCUGCAUGUGGGGACACUGUGGACUUCUGCCCAGAUGACCUUUUCAGGGCUUAACACCCCAGCUGCUUGAGAGAACAGUGUUGCUGCUGGCAGAGAUGCAUUCCAGAGAUGCACUCCACUCUGGAACUUGCUCUCAGCCACAGGGAGCUGCACACACCACAGGGGCGAUGCACCUUUGCAGGGGUAGCUUCUGGCCCCAACCCUUGACUCAACGGGGACAACUCCAGAAGGUCAUUCCAGGUCCAGAGAUCCCCAUCGAACUGAAGGACCACUGGGUUGCAGACACAUUGCAGGUGUCUUUGCUGAAUAUUUCUCUACUCCACUGAAGUUUUGCAGUCCUUAAUGAUCUGCUCAUGUCCUCCAGUUCCAGGGACCCUUUAACCACAUCCCCUCUGCAGCCUUCCAGAUUGCAGAGGCAGGUCCUUUAACCAUGCCCAAACUGUUCUGUAGUCAUGAGUCAUUGCCUUGGGCCUCUUAGCUACUCCCCAUGUCAGAUCAACAAUAAUAGAUGUAAAGACCCCUAAACAUAGCUCUGAUACCAUGUCCCCUUGGCCCUCCAAUUCUAGGGCCCAGUCCUGCUAAUGAUACCCACACAUCAUCCCUCUAAUAACUGGUCUGAGACAACCUAGCCAUACUCCGUCCAUUGUUUUUCAGGACAAGGAUCUGCCCUUUAGCCACACCCUUUUAAAAUCUUCCUCCCUCAGAGCCCAAGUUGCCCAGACUUUUGAAUAAACUCCACAUGCCCUGGCUCUGAUUCUCUGUCUUGGGCCAAUAACUAUUCACUGGAGAGGGCCUUCCUAGGCUCCAGCAAAUUUGUUUGCCCAAUUAGAGUUUGCAAGAUCCAUAAAAUGCUUAUCAGGCUUGGAAAAUCAGAAGAAGCAUGAAGUGUUUUGGACACCUCAUUCAAGGAGAGGAUGAAAAAAGAAAGAGUUACUGGCUCCAAGGCCUCUCCCCACUUGCCUCCCCCAGGCAUGAAGUUAGCUGUCUUAAUCUGUUUUCUGCUGUUAUAACAGAAUGUCACAGACUGAGUGAUUUAUAAUGUACAAAAAUUUAUUUGGCUCAUGGUUCUAGAGGAUGGGAAGUCCAAGAGCAUGGUGCCAGCAUCUGGUGGGGGCCUUUAUGCUGCAUCAUCCCAUGGUGAAGACAGUAGAGCAAGUGAAUAUGUGAGACAGAAAAAGGGGGCUGGAAUUACCCUUUUUAUCAGGAACCCACUCCAGUAUAACUAAUCCACUCCUGUGAUAUUGGCAUUAAUCUGUUCGUGAGGGCUCAGCCCUCAUAACCUAAUCAUCUGUUAAAGGUCCCACCCAUAAAUCUCAUCAUAAUGGCAAUUGAAUUUCAACAUGAAUUUUGGAGGAGACAUUCACACCAUAGCAUCAAUUAUCCAGUGGCUCCUCAGAGUCAGGUCUGAUGAGGGAAAAGGAUGUGCAUGUCUGGGAGUGUGGGCCACCACCCUUUGCCAGAACUACCCCUAUAACCCCAACUUCUGAUCAGAAUUGGAGGCCACUGAGGGAAAAGUAUAUGCAGGUAUAUAAUCUCUAGGGUUUUGAAGAGGGAAGGGGUAGUCCCUCCCCAUUCCAGACAAUCCCAAUAUUCCUCCUACCAUUGGGAAAGAAAAAAAGCAAACAAGAAAACCAGCUCUUUUGAAAAAAGGAGUGGAAAGAAAAAAAAUGAUGCAAAAUUAUUGUUUUUUACUGAAAUCCCCCAUAACCUGUAGCGACCUCAGACAUGGCCCAGAGAAAGGACUGCCCACCCUAGCCCAGCACAGGGAGAGGGGCAAAGAUGUCAUCUUUCCAGCCCUGGAAGGGGCUUCCCCAGGCUAUGCUCACUCCCCUCCUUUGUUUCUAGGAAGGGUCACUAACAGGACCUUUCCACUCCAUCCCAGAAGGAAACGGAAUUGAAAUGUACUGGAGUUUCUCUCAGAAGAAAGAGAGGUGCAAAUUCUCCACUCCAGGACUAUGGCUUUGGUGCCUAAGAAGGAGGAGUUCAGUUUUUGUGUAUGAGCUUAUUUCCAACAUGAGAUUGGUGUUCAAAUGCCUGCAGCAUCCAAACAAGUCCUAUUAAUGAGGGGACCAGAUUGGAUGGGGUGGGGGGUACUUUAGAGAACUGGGGGACUAAAACUAAAGUCUAAUUGCUACCUGCAUCCUUCCUGGCCUUACCAUCUAAGCCUCACUCCAAGAAAUCUUGAGCUCCACCUCUUUUUGGCCUUUUAAUUUAGCUAUCUAAAUGUCCUACCCAUUUCUUCAAACCAUGAUCUUGAGUUCAGAACCCACCAUCAUUCUGCCUCACUUUUAGUUUUAGAAUUUCUUUUUAUAUUGAUUUUUGCUGAGUUUUCUGAAAAAUUGGUAGUGGACUGCCAGGCAUGGUAGCUCAUAUGUGUAAUCCCAGCAUUUUGGGAGGCC